GACGAACGCUGGCGGCGUGCUUAACACAUGCAAGUCGAACGGAAAGGCCCUGCUUUUGUGGGGUGCUCGAGUGGCGAACGGGUGAGUAACACGUGAGUAACCUGCCCUUGACUUUGGGAUAACUUCAGGAAACUGGGGCUAAUACCGGAUAGGAGCUCCUGCUGCAUGGUGGGGGUGGGAAAGUUUCGGCGGUUGGGGAUGGACUCGCGGGUUAUCAGCUUGUUGGUGGGGUAGUGGCUUACCAAGGCUUUGACGGGUGGCCGGCCUGAGAGGGUGACCGGCCACAUUGGGACUGAGAUACGGCCCAGACUCCUACGGGAGGCAGCAGUGGGGAAUAUUGCACAAUGGGCGGAAGCCUGAUGCAGCAACGCCGCGUGCGGGAUGACGGCCUUCGGGUUGUAAACCGCUUUCGCCUGUGACGAAGCGUGAGUGACGGUAAUGGGUAAAGAAGCACCGGCUAACUACGUG
rnacentral:rRNA from 1 species